rnacentral:rRNA from 1 species
GAACUUGGCAGCUUGCUGCUGGGGAUUAGUGGCGAACGGGUGAGUAACACGUGAGUAACCUGCCCUGGACUCUGGGAUAACCCCGAGAAAUCGGAGCUAAUACCGGAUAGGACCUUGGACCGCAUGGUUUGGGGUGGAAAGUUUUUCGGUUUGGGAUGGACUCGCGGCCUAUCAGCUUGUUGGUGAGGUAAUGGCUCACCAAUGCGUCGACGGGUAGCCGGCCUGAGAGGGUGACCGGCCACACUGGGACUGAGACACGGCCCAGACUCCUACGGGAGGCAGCAGUGGGGAAUAUUGCACAAUGGGCGCAAGCCUGAUGCAGCAACGCCGCGUGCGGGAUGACGGCCUUCGGGUUGUAAACCGCUUUUAGUAGGGAAGAAGGGCUUCGGCUUGACGGUACCUGCAGAAAAAGGACCGGCUAACUACGUGCCAGCAGCCGCGGUAAUACGUAGGGUCCGAGCGUUGUCCGGAAUUAUUGGGCGUAAAGAGCUCGUAGGCGGUUUGUCGCGUCUGCUGUGAAAUCCCGAGGCUCAACCUCGGGCCUGCAGUGGGUACGGGCAGACUGGAGUGCGGUAGGGGAGAAUGGAAUUCCUGGUGUAGCGGUGGAAUGCGCAGAUAUCAGGAGGAACACCGAUGGCGAAGGCAGUUCUCUGGGCCGUAACUGACGCUGAGGAGCGAAAGCGUGGGGAGCGAACAGGAUUAGAUACCCUGGUAGUCCACGCCGUAAACGUUGGGCGCUAGAUGUGGGGACCUUUCCACGGUUUCCGUGUCGUAGCUAACGCAUUAAGCGCCCCGCCUGGGGAGUACGGCCGCAAGGCUAAAACUCAAAGGAAUUGACGGGGGCCCGCACAAGCGGCGGAGCAUGCGGAUUAAUUCGAUGCAACGCGAAGAACCUUACCAAGGCUUGACAUAACCGGGAACGCCCUAGAAAUAGGGAACUCUUUGGACACUCGGUUACAGGUGGUGCAUGGUUGUCGUCAGCUCGUGUCGUGAGAUGUUGGGUUAAGUCCCGCAACGAGCGCAACCCUCGUCGCAUGUUGCCAGCACGUUAUGGUGGGAACUCAUGUGAGACUGCCGGGGUCAACUCGGAGGAAGGUGGGGAUGACGUCAAAUCAUCAUGCCCCUUAUGUCUUGGGCUUCACCGCAUGCUACAAUGGCCGGUACAAAGGGCUGCGAUGUCGUAAGNCGGAGCGAAUCCCCAAAAGCCGGUCUCAGUUCGGAUUGAGGUCUGCAACUCGACCUCAUGAAGUCGGAGUCGCUAGUAAUCGC